AUUGAACGCUGGCGGCAUGCCUUACACAUGCAAGUCGAACGGCAGCACGGGAGCAAUCCUGGUGGCGAGUGGCGAACGGGUGAGUAAUAUAUCGGAACGUGCCCAGUCGUGGGGAUAACGUAGCGAAAGCUACGCUAAUACCGCAUACGAUCUAUGGAUGAAAGCGGGGGAUCGCAAGACCUCGCGCGAUUGGAGCGGCCGAUAUCAGAUUAGGUAGUUGGUGGAGGUAAAGGCUCACCAAGCCGACGAUCUGUAGCUGGUCUGAGAGGACGACCAGCCACACUGGGACUGAGACA
rnacentral:rRNA from 1 species